rnacentral:lncRNA from 1 species
CUCUUCAAGCAAAAAGACUUAGCAAUUUUGGGAACUCUUCAAAUACCACCAUUCCAGUGAACCCCAUUGCCCUUAGGAUAAAAUCUGCAAUCCUUCACAAGCCUUUGAGGCCCUGCGUGAUGGGGUCCUACCUGCCUCUCCAGCUCCGGCUCCUGCCACUGGCCCCCAAACCUCCUGCACUCAACCACAAUGGCCACCACUCUGGUUUCUGACUGCCCCAAUUUCCUCUCCACCUUCAGCCUUUGCUUGUGCUGCGCCCUCCCCCUGGGGCUCUUCCUCUCUCUUUACCUGGCAAUCCUCCUUAUCCUUGUUCCAGGUUGAAUGUCAUCGGCAAAGAUCAGGCAAGCUCCUCCAUUAUGAUCUUCUGGGAUCAUAAGAUCAUUAAGAACUUCAUUACAGGUCUUAGCACAAGCGUGAAUAAUUACUAUUGCUUUAAAAUUGUGCUCCCCCACUGGCAGGGACUUUGUCUAUCAUAUACACCUAGCACUUAGUGCAAUGCUGAAUAUUUCGUAGGUCAAAUGCACAAAUGAAUGAAGUAGGUGCACAAAAGAUAUUGACUGCCUAUGAGAGAAUCUAACAAAGCAAACCCAGUAAAACAAAAUCUUCAUCUUAAAUGUGCACAAACUAGGGAGUGAGUAUUCUCUCCUACCUCUCCUCUCCAAUCAUUCUGGCACAAGGAUUUCAGAUGGUCCUGCCUUCCCAUCAGGGCUGUACCAUCAAAUCUACUGCCUGGCUUUCAGGACCCUCCCUUAUCAUUAUCAUCAUCAUGAACAUUAUUGAACAUGUAAUAUGUUCCAUGUGCAUUACUCAGUAUUCUCUACUGAUCUAUUUUGAUCCUCACUGCAAUCCAUAAAAUAGUGCAGUGUAUUAAAGAUGGGCACAGAUGCAUAAAUUCUUUGACAUUUCUCUCAUUGAGAGGUGGGGUCUUUGUCCCCUCCCCUUGAAUCUGAGCUAUCAUGUGACUGCUUUGACCAAUAGAGUGCACAGGAAAUCAUGUCAUGCCUUUUCCAGUUUCUGUGUCGGAAUGGUCACUCUGGGGGAAGACUGCUUACAACUAAUGACUAACACCUAAUUGGCACAAAGAAUGUAAGAAGUCUGACUCCCCUGAGACUGCAGGGAGGAAACUCGAGCUGGUUGCAGGGAGAGGUCCUGGGGAAAGAAUGCCCUUCCAGCCCCCAGCUGUUGCAACCAUGCCAGCCCGGGUGCCAGGCACGUACAUGAAGGCACUAUCUUGCACAUCCAGCCCAGUGGAGCCUUCAGCUGACUCCAGCCCCAGCCACAGGAGAAGCUCCAUGACAGACCACUCAGCUGACCCCAGUUAACCCCCAAAAUUGUAAGAGAGAAUAACAAAUUAGUAUUUUAAGCCACUAGAUUGUGGGGAGGAUUAUUAGGCAGCAAUAAAUAGCCAAAACACAUAGGCACUAUUAUGACCCUGGCUUUAUAAAUGAGAAACUGAGACCCAGCACACUCAAAACCACACAGCUGGGAAGGGGUGGAGCUGGGAGCCCAAUCCAGGAAGGCUGGCUUCAGAACCCAGGCUUUCAUCAUCCAUGCAGCCACACCACUCUUUGGCAGGCAACUUUUUCCAUUUGACUCCUCCAAGACAUAGUCUCUACUGCUGUUGUGCCUCUAAAAGGGUCCCCUUCUCUUUCCUUCUGCCCAUGUGCCUAAUCCCCUACCUCUAUCAUGAUCCCCUCUCUGAAUCCUCUACUGAUAUGCCCUUCCUCCAAAUUCCUGGGUACAUUUAAAGAUAGGCAUCUAGCCUUACCAUUCAUUGUUCUAGUAAUAUUCUUCAUGCUGUUUUUUGCUUCACAACUAUACGUUAUCUCCUUAAAGGUCAAGACUAAAUCUCCUAUUUUGAUUUUGCCCACCUCUCCAGAAAACCUUGCCCAUCCCCACUUUGCCCAGCACAAUGCUGUGCACUCAAUAAAUGCACCCUCCAGCCAUACUGGCCAAGCUCAUUCCCUUUUCAGAGCCUUUAUGUUUGCAGUUCCCUUUCCCUGGAAUACGCUUUCUUAGCUUUCAACCUGAGCUGCUCCUUCACAGCACUCAGAUCUCAGAAAAUAUCUCCCCUCCACCAACAGGCCUAUCCUGACCACCCUGUCUAAAGGAGCCACGCCUCCCCACCCCUAGUCAGCCACUCACCAUCUCCUUAUCCUGCAUUGUAUUAAUUAGUUGUCAGUUUCUUAAUUCCCUUAGGUAGCAAACAAGUUCCAGAAGGACAGAACAUGCCCAUCUUGUUUAUUGCUAUAGUCUCAAUCCCCAGGACAGUUUCUGGCCUAUAGUAACAUCUCAAAAAAUAUUGUUAAAUAAAUGAAUGCAUAUUUGUUGAUUGAAUCUUCACUUCAUAAGAUCUGCCACCAUGGAGCAGUUGUGCUCAUGUACACAAAACAUUUUCCCCUAUCAUGUCAGUUGCAUCUUCAGCAUAAUGUGCAACCUUCCACUUCUCAUGCAGAAAGACUAUACUUGCCUCUAAGGUGAACUCUGUGUUUAUUUUAUAUAUAUAUAUAUAUAUUUUAAGUUCUGGGAUACAUGUGCAGAACGUGCAGGUUUGUUACAUAAGUAUACAUGGGCCAUGGUGGUUUGCUGCACCUGUCAACCCAUCAUAUAGGUUUUAAGCCCCACAUGCAUUAGGUAUUUGUCCUAAUGCUCUCCCUCCCCUUGCCCCCAACCCCUUGACAGGCCCCGGUGUGUGACGUUCCCCUCCCUGUGUCCAUGUGUUGUCACUGAGGUAAAUUCUGUGUUUAUUUAGCCAGUUGUUGACGUCGGGCAGUAGUCUACAUGCUGCUUUGGUUGUCCAAACCAUUUUUCACAACUGAGUUCUCAGAAGAACAGUGGGUUUUUUUUUGUUUUUGUUAUUGUUUUGUUUUGUUUUCAUUUUUCUUUUAUAGAGACAGGGGCUCAUUGUGUUGCCCAGGCUGAUCUCAAACUCCUGGGCUCAAGCAAUCCAUUCACCUCGGCCUCUCAAAGUGCUGGGAUUACAGGCAUGAACCACCAUGCCUGGCCUAGAAGAGUGCAUUUAAAGCUGGUCGAGGAGCCUCUAGGAUGACCCCAAGAAGAGAGGGUGGCCAAGCAGGCUUAGUACGACAUGCAUUAAUAAAGGCCACAUUGCAGGGAUGAUGAAAUGAGAAUAUUAAAUCCAAUGGAGGUCCAUUUUGCUCACUAUGGUAAACACAGAAAUUCAUCCUGGUAUCUAGAACAGAGUAAAUCCUCAAUAAACACUUGUUGAAUGAACAAAGGAACAAACCAAUGAAUUAAUGAAACAUCUUUACCUUGUGUCUCAUUUCUUAUCACUUAUCAUUUCAAUAUGUGCAAGAACUCAGAGUACAUUUUUCAUUUUGUGUAUGUGAAACUUACCAACAAAAUAGUAGCUAAAAAGUUGUAAAACUUACAAGUUUUCAACAACAAAGUUGAAAUGUAAAUGAACAUCUGUGCUCCCCGAAAUACAUAAUAGGCAAGUAGAGAAAUCUAGAAAGGAAAGGCCACAGGCUGAGGGAGUUAACAGAUGCGAUAGUCUAUUAACAUUAAUUUUCUGAAGUGUAUAUUUCAGAAAUUUGCUCAGCCUCGCUGAGUCUCAGUUUCCUCAACUGUAUACUGAAGACAAUUUCUUUAUUUACCAACCUGAAAUAUUCAUAGUGAGUCUAAGAUGGAAGAACAGAUGAGUAAAUACUUUAAAAGUGUAAUAAGAGGCCAGGCGUUGUGGCUCACACCUGUAAUCCCAGCACUUCGGGAGGCCAAGGCGGGCAGAUCAUUUGAGGUCAGGAGUUCGAGACCAGACUGGCCAACAUGGCAAAACCCUGUCUCUACAAAAACUACAAAAAUUAGCUGGGCGUGGUGACACGCGCCUGUAAUCCCAGCUACUCAGGAGGCUGAGAGGCAUGAGAAUCACUUGAACCCAGGAGGUGGUGGUUACACUGAGCUGAGAUUGUGCUGCUGCACUCCAGCCUGGGCAACAGAGCAAGACUCCAUCUCAAAAGAAAAAAAAAAGUGUAAUAGGAAUAUGAGCUAAUCGACAGUUUCCAUCUUCCUCUCUUUCUGACAUUUCAAAUACUUAAAAAUACUUUUAAAAAUUUUUUAAUCAAUGUAAUAUAUUUUUUACUAUUUCUGAGUUUCAUGAUUCAUUCACAAAUGACUAUUACCUGUUUGUUCCAAAUACUCAAUCUGCAAAGUUUUUCCUAAUCAUUUUAUAAUUCUUCACUCGUUUUUAUUCUGUUCUCUCUGCUUUUCAGCAAAGGAUCUCAUGGUAUAGAGAGCUUCUCCAUCUUACCAGAGGCAGAGAGCAAGUUAGAAACAGCAAAGAAAAAAUCAAACUCUUGAGCCUCUAGUCUGUGGUUUAUAGUAUAGAGCCCAAACAACUGGGCCUAUAAAAUUGUCACUAGUGGCGGUGUGCGGUGGCUCACACCUGUAAUCCCAGCACUUUGGGAGGCCAAGGAGGGAGGAUCACCUGAGGUCAUGAGUUCAAGACCAGCCUGGUCAACAUGGUAAAACCCUGAUUCUACUAAAAGUACAGAAAUUAGCCAGGUGUAGUGGCGGGUGCCUGUAACCCCAUCUACUCAGGAGGUUGAGGCAGGAGAAUCUCUUAAACCUGGGAGGUGCUGGUUGCAGUGAGCUGAGUUAGUGCCACUGCACUCCAGCCUGUGCAACAGAGGAAGACUCCAACAACAACAACAAAAAAAAAAAAAAAAAAAAAAAAAGGCACUAAGAGAAAAGUCAGAACAUAGAAACUAGUCCAUUGGCUCUCAAAUUCAGGGUGGCAUCAGAAUCACUUGGAAGCCUUGUUAAAACACAGACUGUUGCAUCCUCACACCCCACCCCAAAGUUUUAGGAGUUCUGGGGUAGUGUCUGGGAUCCUGUAUUUCUAACAGGAAUUUUGUAUUUCUAACAGGAAAAUUGGCACUACAUUCCCAUGUAAUGCCAAUGCUACUGGUCUGCCAGUCACACCGUGAGAACCAAGUACCUCGCCUUUUCAUACACUAACUCCUUUGAUUCUCCCCAACAAUCCUUUCCCAUUUUAUAGAUGAGAAAACUGAAGCCCAAAGAAUAAGCUCUACUCGCAUUCCAGCUUGAUGAUUAACCAAAUCACUAUAAUCUUCAGAAAGUGAAUUAACUUUUCUGUGGCUCAUUUUCUUCAUCUACUGAAAAAAUAUUGUCAGGUACUUCGUGAGGAUUAAAAGGACAGUGGUGUCUAAGAAGUGCUCCGCAAAGUCAAAGACAAGGCAGAAUUCUAGGAAUCUCACUUAGCACAUGGUUGUGUUUUUGUCACUUUUUUAUUUGCAUGGGAAAUUUUUAACCACAGUCUUGGCAAAGUACUCCAUCCCAUUGUCCAAACAUCAGUAUCCACAGAUUCUGUUUUCCGAGGUUUUGUUUUGUUUGUUAAUUACUGAGUUUGUUUUUCCAAGAACUUCCCUUAUGUGCUAUAAGUGGAGGAUGUUGGGGGGCAUGUGAAGGUGGGGAGCUGUUUCAAACACAUUGAACAUUUCCAUUUCUAAGACAAUGCUCGACUGGAUAGACAGUGUUCCCUAUGAUGUGAUACAUAGUUAUGUUGGAGAUUAGUGCGAGCAUAGCCUCCUUUGGUAUAAGGUUCUCUGAUUUGGCUUUCAGAGGAUUCAGUGUAUUUUGAUUUCUAUAUUUAGAAACCCAAGGCUUUUUGGUAUGCUAUGAACACAUCGAGGCAAGACUAAUUGUAAGCACUUGUACUUAAAUAUUAGUUUCAAGAAUAAGAACCUUCAGAGGUUUCCAUAUUGUAUUCCACUGGAGUAUCAUUAAGGGAAGCAAUUACUUAUCAGGGUAUACUCAAAACAACUAUCGCAUUCGGAGGAAAUAAUGGGAGUUGUCUGUCUAAAUUGCUAGGCAGGGGCCCUGGAAAUCACUUAGCAUAAUUCUUGGCAUAAGGUAAGCAGUCAAUACAUGGAACAGAGAUUCACCCAAAUGAGCACAUAGUAUGUGUUAGGAUUUUACACAUAGCAUGUCAUUGAGUCUUUAUAAUGUCCCCUGAUUUAGGUAUGGCUGUUCAUUUAUAGAUGAGGAAACUGAGAUUCAUGGAAGUUAGGCGAUGUUUAUCAGGUCCUUAGGGAAGUAGGUGAGGGCUGAAUUUAUGAUGCCAGCCCAUAGGUGCUUGAUGUCAAAAGCAAUUUUCUUUCCACUACACUAGGCUAUUUCCUUCCUUGCCUCUUUCCUUUUUGUCUUCCCUCCUCUAUAGGGUUCCUUCCACAAAUAUCAGAAGUCUUUGUGAAUGCCAGCCAACAACCACUGUCAGCAAGGUAUUCCCAUUUUAUGGAUUGGUUCAUAGUAGAAAAAAGUGAUACCUCAAAGCCACCCCCGAAAAGUUUCAGUAUAAAAUACGUAACUUCUUUCUGAAUCCUAUUCCUCAGCCCUCAACUAUAAGCGCGAGGGUACGUUACAGAGGAUCCUUUAUUUAGGAAAACAAAGUGUUUGGGUCUAGACAACAGGCCCAUGACAGUCCAUCACCCAGGGCCAAGGCUCCCAGCUGCCCAAGGUGGCUGAGAUACAUGGGAGGAAAAACUGGUCUUGCUUCCAAUUUGAAUUGCAAAUGCUUCCUGGAGACAGAAGUCAGGCGGAUAUGCCCAUUUAUUUAUUGCCUAGUGCUACAAUAGCUAAAUAAAAAUAAAUAAAUAAAAGUAAAGCACCUACUGAUUUAUUAUUCAGAAUAAAUACAUAAAUAAAGGCCUAGAGCAAUAAAAAGGGUUAAUUGAGGGCUUUCUUUGCAUUUUCCCCUAAACACCAGUUGUCUUUCUCUUCUAUUUCUUCACUUUUUUUCCCCCGUUUUUAUGCCUCAUGCCUCUUUUAAUUUUUUCUGUUUUCCACAUCCUUUCUCUAUCUUUCUGUCCCUCUCUUCAAGAACCGUUCCCCUUCAUCUCCUGAGCACCUCCUCUCUAGUAUUUUGUGUCUGGUUCCAAGAGGAAAUAGCAGAGCAGUAGAGUUUUCACCUCCCUGUUGGCAAGUGCUUUGUGUCACACUGUCACUUAGGACACACUGAUCUAUAGGUCUCUUCUGCUGCUGAGAAGAGACAGGGAUGGUGAAGGUACAUCUCGAGCUGGGAUAUUUUCUCCUAAAAUGUACCCUAAAAAUUGCACCCAGCAUCUAAUUUUAAAUGGAUUACAGAACUGGAUUUUUUUCACGGCUUUUUCUUACUAUAAAAGUAAUAAAUACUUACUGAAAAUACAGAAAAAUAUAAAGAGAGUAAUCACCCAUUCUUACUGUAAUAUGAAAGCAAUCACUAUUAAAUGUGUAUGCCUUUUAUCCCUGUAUUUUAACAAACAUCACGUUUGUUCAUAUAUAUCACUAAUGAUAUAUCACACAUUCAUGUAUCACUAAUUUUACAUACAUGCAUGCACUGUUCACAUUAUUCUAAUUCUCAUCAACAUCAUUAUGGCUGCAUCUUAUUCCAAUGUGUGAACAUACCAAAAUACACUGAGUCAUACUUCUUUUGGUAGAUAGCUGGCUUUUUGUUUUUUUUCCAUUUUUUGCGUUAUAAAUAACGCUGCCAUGAGGCAAACACAGUGGCUUGCACCUGUAAUCCCAGCUACUUGGGAGGCUAAGGAAGGAGGACUGCUUGAGGCCAAGAGUUGGAGGCCAUCCUGGGCAACAUAGCAAGAUCCACCCAUCUCUAAAAAAUAAAAUUUAAUUUAAAAUAAUAAUAAAUAAAUAAUGUUACCAUGGAUGACUUUGUGCAAAAAGUUAUUUCUGCAAUUUUCAAUGGUUUCCUUGGGAAAUAAUUCCAAAAGUAAAAUUGUGGAAUCAAAGGUUAUGAAUGCUUUUAAGGCUCUGUAAAUUGCAUUCCAAAAAGUUCGUGCUCUCUCCAAAUCCCUUACCACACUAAGAAUCGUUCUUAUAAAUUGGGUAAAGAAAUGUUAUAAAGCAAAUAACCACCCUCUGAUUUGUCCUUUGUGAAACAGGCAAAAAAUUGGGAGCCCAUCUUUCCUCUGACUCUCACCGCCCCACCCAAUUCCACCUGUGGAGGGUCACCAGCUUAUGACCUCUAGGUUUUGUCUCACCUUUUUGCAAGACAAGCCAAAUAAAGCCAUUCUCUUAUUCAUUCAUUCAACCACUCGUGAACAGCUACGGAGUAGUUAUUUGCCAGGCCCUGUGCCAGUGCUGAGGAUAUAAAGAUGAAUAGAACAUUAUCCCUAACUUACAUGAACAAUGGUGUGGUGGGACAGACAGACAUGAAAAUAAGACAUGAAAAUAAGUCUGGUGGGGCGACCAGAGCUCAUGGAGGCAGGCGUGGAGCGCUCCAGGUCCUCCGAGAGGAGCCCCUACUGAGCGUGGGGAGAUGAUGUCUGACCAGUCCCUAGGUGACAUCAUAACAUAACAGUUACUCUUUCCUCUGUACUUACAAGCAUUGCCUCAUUUACCCUCAGAACACCUCCACUAAGGAGAUCUUAUUGCUCUUUUACAAAUGAAAAAAAAAAAAAAAAUGAGGUUGAGCAAAUUAAAUAACUUGUCCCAGAUCACACAGCUAAGAAAGGGCGAAACCAAAUGUAACUAUAAAUUCAAAACUUCACAUUGGACUCAUCAAGGGUCUACCAAAAAGGCUCCAUCAGCCCAAAUAAGGUUCCCCCAAGACUUGAGCUCCGACGACCCCAUUCCAUCCAUUAAUGACAAAGAGAGGUGCAACCCCUUCUCAAGCCCGCAUCUUCCCAGCAGCCUCCCUUGCUUUGUCCUGCAGGGGUGGCUUUCCUACCUUCUGCUCCUUGUCAUCCGGUCUGAACUCCCCUCUUCUCUUGAGCACGGUGACCCUCAGCACUUCACCCUGCCUAGCCUUGCCAUUUGGCUAUAAAAUUUGUUUUAACUGCCAGGAAACUGAUGGAAUUAUAAAAGAUCCAUGAUGAUUCUCGGGGCCCUGCCUUCUUUGUCUCUAAAGCAAUGCGAUCAGAAAUGAUGAUUUGUGAGCCCCUGUGUAAUUCUCACGGUAUAAAAUCCUGCGAGCCACUGAACCACACCGAGCGCAUUUAGAGUUGCUAUUAGAAUACAAAAGCAAAGGUUUGGUUCAAACUGAAAAGGCAGACACUUGUGGCCUCUUCCAAUGAAGAAGAAAGGAAAAGAAGUAUUUUAAUGAUGUUUUUUAAUCAUUUCCUCAGAGCACACAAUGAGAAUAUAUUUGCUGGGGAAUGAAAAAGAACACAACAUCAAUUCAGUGCACAAAACUACUCUAAAACCUAAGGAUCUAUUCUCACAUUUUUCAUUAAUUCCAUCCAGGCUGAUAACUUUCAACAUUAAGCCUCCGUGCUUCAUCCAACUCAAGUUUCCUAGAAGCACACAAACAAAUCAAAAUUCAUUUGGGGUUGCCAAGAAGUCUUUCAAAUAUGGGAUACCAACCCCCGUUUCAAGUCCUUUUCACUGCCCAAAUUCCAACCUCAACUAUGCAUUCUCCAUUAAAAACGUUCACCCAUCAAUCCUGUUGGUUUCAUCAUGAAGUUAUAGGGACUGAAGACUCAUCUUGCUAUGUAAUAGCAACAAAGAUGGUCUCAAACACAGCUUUCCAACAAAAGCACAAAGCUUGAAAAAAAAAUGGCUUAAUUCCAAAGGCCCCACUGGGAUGUUAGCCUCCCUUCCAUAAGAACCUCCAAUGUCUCAUUGUUUACAAUCAGUUCAGUACACUUUUAAAAAUCUUUAUUAUUGUGGUAAAAUAUCCAUGACAUGAAAUUAGCCAUUUUAACCACUUUUAAAUGUAUAGUUCAGUGGCAUUAAGUCCAUUCAUAUUGCUUUCAACCAUCACUGCUAUCCUGUACCCACUAAAAAAUAAAUUGCUAUCCCUCCCUCCCGUCAUGUCCUGGUAACCUCCAUUCUAUUUUCUGUCCGCAUGAAUUUGACUAGGUCCCUCAUGUAAGUGGAAUCACAUAUUUGUUCCUUGUGUGUCUGGCCUAUUUCCCUUAGCACACUGUCUUCAAGGUUCAUCCAUGUGUGUGUGUGUGUGUGUGUAUAUAUAUAUAUAUAUAUAUAUAUACACACACACACACACACACACACACACAUCAGAAUUCCAUUCCUGUUUAAGGCUGAAUAAUAUUCCAUUGUAUUCAGUUCAGUACUCUUUGCAUGAUGUUUUAAGCCUUCCACAUUCUGGCCUGAUUUUUUUUUUCUUUAUCUUAUUUCCCAUUUCAGAGACCUACAUGCCUAGGGCAGAGAAGAUGAGUCAGGAAUUCAUCACCUUUUUCCCAGAGAUUUUAAGCCUUUUUACCUUUGUUCACACUGGUCCCUUAACCCAGCACAUCCUCCAUCGUGCUUUCUCUAAUCAAAAUCCUAGUUGUUCCCUGCGCUCAAUUAAUGCCCGUUCCACCAUGUGGAUCCAUGCAUACUAUGGAGCACCCUCCAAUUACAGUCGGACCAGCUGUAAAAUGUGUGCUUUCAUCACAGCCAAUGGCGCUCAAAGUCACCUUCUCUGAAACAAGACAGUUUAAAAUACAGUUUUCAAUUAUUUGGCAAGCCCUGUUUUAGGUUUGUUUUAUUUUGCUUUGUUUUUUUCAGACGGAGUCUAGCUCUGUCGUCCAGGCUGGAGUGCAGUGGUGCGAUCUCGGCUCACUGCAACGUCCACCUGCCGGGUUCACUCCAUUCUCCUGCCUCAGCCUCCCGAGUAGCUGGGACUACAGGCGCCCACCACCACCCCCGGCUAAUUUUUGUAUUUUUAGUAGAGGCAGGGUUUCACCGUGUUAGCCAGGAUGGUUUCCAUCUCCUGACCUCGUGAUCCGCCUGCCUCAGUCUCCCAAAGUGCUGAGAUUACAGGCGUGAGCCACCGUGCCCGGCCUAGGUUUUUAAAAAAUAGAAAUUUCUUUUUAUUUAAAGCCAGGAAAAAAAAUAACGUGACUAAUGUGUAUUGAGAACACACAUAAAAUAAAAAUAUUGCAUGUAUAAUCUCAGUUUUAAAAUGUAGUCAUGAAUAGCCUUUGGGGGCACUGGACUAUUUCUAAUGUAAACAUUUUGAACUAUAGAGAUAUAGCACUUUAUUCAGAAAAUAAUACAAAUAUUCAUCUCCACUCGAUUUUCUUUCCCAGUUAUAAACAAGAAAUAUAUUAAAUGGCAUAAAUAAACUGACAAAAAAGAACGCACAACUUUGCUACUUAAACGGCUUAUUGAAAAUUCUGACUGGCUAUUUCUCUGUAAGAUUUGCAGUGCCUUAGAUUUUAUACAUCCUUUUUGUGGUUAAAUUAGUAAUAACAGCAUUAAAAUCUUAAGAACUG